rnacentral:rRNA from 1 species
ACGGAGGGGGCCAGCGUUGUUCGGAAUUAUUGGGCGUAAAGGGCGCGUAGGCGGCCAUGCAAGUCGGAGGUGAAAGCCCUCGGCUCAACUGAGGAAUUGCCUCCGAUACUGCAUGGCUUGAGUCCCGGAGAGGGUGGUGGAAUUCCCAGUGUAGCGGUGAAAUGCGUAGAUAUUGGGAGGAACACCGGUGGCGAAGGCGGCCACCUGGACGGGUACUGACGCUGAUGCGCGAAAGCGUGGGGAGCAAACA